GUCCUGGGACAGAGAACAGAUUCACACGCACACGUCCACCAUUGGAUUUGUCUUCAUUAAGUGACACGCAGGGCCGGGGCCCCUGCUCUGCUCCACGGGCCCUGCUCUGCUCCACGGGCCCUGCUCUGCCCCACGGCCCCUGCUCUGCUCCACGGGCCCUGCUCUGCUCCACGGCUCCUGCUCUGCCCCACGGGCCCUGCUCUGCUCCACGGGCCCCUGCUCUGCCCCACGGCCCCUGCUCUGCUCCACGGCCCCUGCUCUGCUCCACGGGCCCUGCUCUGCUCCACGGGCCCCUGCUCUGCUCCACGGGCCCUGCUCUGCCACCAUGUCGGCCGCACACAGAGGUCGAGCUGAGCGCCACCGCUUGGAAAACACUGUGGCGUUCCAGGCCUGGUGGAGGCCGCUGGCUCGUCUGUCAGGCUCCGCCUUUCCCCACGGUGAUGACUCAGCACAACGUGCUCACAGGAAACAAUUGACCUUUGUGUCGUUCGUCAGCAAAGCCGUACUGUGGGAGAGAGAGGCGCGCACCUACAGCCUCACUGUUCGUCCUGCUCUGCGUCCGUCCAUGUGUCCUCGCUUCCUGUCCCACAUGAAGAAGGAGAACCUCAAAGCUCCUCCUGUGGUCACCUUCGUCCCAGUGCUGCCUCACACUCCUCACACUACAAGGACACGCCCACCAGAGGGUUCGGUUCCUCUCAGCCCUGAUGGAGGAACGCGCUGCUUAGCAAAGCUCAGUUCCAGAGCAGAAAGGCAGCUCACUGUCGUUCCUCCACCAUCGUCCAGCGACCGCGCCACCAUCCGUGCCACCGACAGAUCCAAGCCCCUCCUCCUACCUUUACUCGACAAAGCCGAAGCUUCGGACGGGAGAAGAACGCUGAGAGAGGAAAUGCUGGGCAUUCGCUGUGGAACCGACCUCGAGUCUGUAGCUUCACCGACCUCGUCUCUGUCCAAGCUAACUCGUCCGCCUUCCAGUUUGUUCCGCAGCGAGGACCUCACCAGUGGGAGGAGCAGCGUACUGAGGGCCUCAAACUACGAAAUCUCUGCCUUUGAUUCUUCCUUACGUCGUCCUUCCCUGACUGGUGGAUUGUUACCUCCAGCGUCUGACGCGGUCACUGAAACAAAGGCCCAUCACUCCUCGUUGAGUCCAUCUCACACGUUGCCUCUGAUCCAUGAGCCUCACGAAGACCACCUCAGCGUCCCACGUGCUGCAGACAAAGAAAUCACCGCCUCUGAUUCUUCCUCAUGUCGCCCUUCCCUAACUGGUGGAGUGUUCCCUCCACUGUCCGUCACGGUCACUGAAACCAAGGCUCAUCCCUUCAUGGAGAGUCCAUUUCAUGUGUUGCCUCACAAAGACCUCCUCACUGUCCCGUGUGCUGCAGACGAAGCAGAAGUAUCAGACCAUGGUUCCUCAUCAUGCCAGCCUUCAUUGAUUGGUGGAUUUUCAGAUCCACUUUCGGAAACCAAGGCUCAUCAACCCUCAAAAAGUCCGACUCACACUUCCCCUCCGACCUAUGAGCAUGGCUUAAACCAAGCCUCAACAAUCGCCCCUCGUUCUCCUCCCAUCAUUUACACUGACAGAGAAAAGCUUCUGAGCUGCGAAACAGUGAAAGAUGAACUUCAACACGAGUCCAAAGCUUCUGGAUUUAAAGCGUUUUCCUCUGAGGAGAACCGUGUUCCAUCAACGCUCAACUCUGCUGCUAAUCAUCCCAGUCCUCAGAUGGUCUUUCCGUUAUCUGAAGUCAGGGCAGCAUCACUGUCUCCUCAUUGGCCGGUUCUGCCUCGCAUCUCCGCCCUCAGAGGAGGCUCCUCUUCAUCCUCUUCAUCCUGCUGCUCUGAGAUCAGCUGCUCUCAGUCUCACAUGUUUGAUGAGCUGGAUGCCAUAGCUCCGCCUUCAACCUCCGCCUUGUCCCUGGAUCAGUUAAUGGACUCAUCAGGCAGACACUCACCUGGCACAGAUUUGUCUCCAGGUCUGGCCGCUCUCACCGUCGCCUGUGACUCAGGGAAUCUGGGCUCGUUGUCCCGGGUCCAGCUGCUGCUCCUGGACCGAGCCGUCCUGGACUCUGGAACAUCACCGCCGAGCCUGGAGAAGGAGGAGGAGGAGGAGGAGGAGGAGCUCCGUCCAGGAUGGAGCUCAGGGAGUUUAGGUUCCCAUACAGACGAACGGGACAAAGAUUCAGCGGGAGGUGAGGGGCCCGAACACCGCGAGGUGCUGAGCGUGCUCGCCAAGCUGCAGCAGGAGACGCCACGUCAGGGCCAGGAGGGCCACAAGAGCCGGGAGGGCCACAACAGCCAGGAGGGCCACAACAGCCAGGAGGGCCACAACAGCCAGGAGGGCCACAAGAGUCAGGAGGGCCACAAGAGCCAGGAGGGCCACAAGAGUCAGGAGGGCCACAACAGCCAGGAGGGCCACAAGAGUCAGGAGGGCCACAAGAGUCAGGAGGGCCACAAGAGCCAGGAGGGCCACAAGAGCCAUGAGGGCCACAAGAGCCAGGAGGGCCGGGAACGCUCCAACUUUGAGGAUUUCGACUUUCUGUCCAAGUUUUGUAUCUUCAGCGGAGAGAAGUUAGCGGAGUACAGCAGAGUGUUCCAGACUGUGGACUUGGACCAGGACGGGUUCCUCUCUUUCCCACAGGUUUUAGAGGCACUUAAACGCAUCGUUCCAGCUGAGCUGCUGUCUGAUGAUGAACAGGUUUACGUCUACAGGAUCCUAGAGAUGGUUGACUUCAGGGUGAUGGAUGGACUGGUCGACCUCAGGCUGUUUGCCGUCAUCUCCAGCCUGGCUGAGAAGAUCUCAUCUAUGGAAUGGUCCUGUCUCCACAUGACUGUUCUUCAAUGUUCAUGUCUGUGUUCAACCACCUUCAGCUACAGUGGGGGUCCCCGCUCUCUGGGACCUUUAUUUUGGGGGUCGUGGCUUGAAAAGGUUGAGAACCACUGGUGUAGCGUCCAGAACUCAGACGGCAGCACAAAACGAGAGGACGUAAAUCAGGACAGCCUCAGCCUGGCUGAAAGGAAGCUCUCAGUCCAGACCUUGACCAACAGGACGUCCGUGGUCCUGUUGUGGUCCAGAGCCACAGACACUCAUAGGAGAUCACAGAUGCACAGAUUGUGGAAAAGGUGCUGAAAUGGGUGAAGAGUUGCAUAGAAGAGUGAAAAUAGGCUGGAAAUAUGAGGUUAAAAGUGACAAUAAUGGGUCAACAUAUGUGUCAUUAGGUAAAAAAGUGGUAGAAAGGUUUUUAUAAGUGCUGAAAAUGUCUGGAAAGUAGAAAAAAUGUGCAGAAAAGACAUUGAAAUGUGAUGGAGAAAUGUCAGAAAUGGGAGAAAUGUAGCAAAAAUACAUUAAAAGGAGCAAAAAUACAUUAAAAGGAGCAAAAAUAUGACAAGAAAAAGUGAUGAAAAUUGGUUAAAAUAUAGAAAGUUUGGUGUAGUUGCAGAAAAACGGUAAAAAUAAACAAAAAUUAGCUCAAAUUGUUCA
ensembl:lncRNA uncharacterized LOC114465248